rnacentral:lncRNA from 1 species
CGACAGGAGCUGGGGAGGGGGGGACUGAUAACCAUGCAUGCGGGGGUGGGGUGUGUGUGUGGGGGGGUGGAGAACUGAGCUUGACUUUGGGGUGGCAGUCUCAGGCCAUGGACGGGUCUGAACCUAUGCAGCUGGCCCCAGGGCUAGUUCCCCCUCUGGAAAGAGCCCCUCCUUUGGGGAUAUGACUUCCACCCUACCCCUAGGACACAGAGGGAACCUGGGUGGCAAGGGAAUGAUGGCUACCCUCACAAAAUAAGACUUCCUGCCAACCCUUAAAGAACAAGUGUUGACCAUAACCUUGGAGCUUGUCUUUUCACCACAUGAUGUAAAUUCUUAAAGGGUUGGAGCAUAGCAAGUAAUCCACCAACUUUAAGGUUAUUAUUUACAAAUCCAUCUUAGAAAUUCUAAUCAAUUCCAUUAUAUGAGAAGAAUGUGCUGAAUCCCCAAAGUCACUUACUUUAAAAAUCCUUCAUAUUUGAAUGUUCAUCCUAACAUGUCAAUUACUGAAUAAACUAGGAACAUUAAAUUUUACUUUUUUCUUUUUAGCACCACACCAGUGGCAUAUUGAAGUUUCCAGACUAGGGGUUGAAUUGGAGCUACAGCAGCAAGUUUAGGCCACAGGCACGGCAACGCCACAUCUGCGACCUACACUGCAGCUUGCAGCAAUGCCAGAUCCUUAACCCACUGAGCAAGGCCAGGGCUUGAACCUGCAUCCUCACAGUUACCAGUUGGGUUCUUAACCUGCUGAGCCACAGUGGGCACUCCCAAUGUUAAAUUUUUUUUAAAGCUUGUGUACUUUGGGUUUUAAACAUCCAGAUUCUCAUCUUCAGGUAAGGUAAAUUUAUGCAUGUGAUUCCAGAAAAAAAGAACUGUAUUCAUUGUGGCAAUUCCUAUAUUGGAAUAACAUUGGCUUAUAUGCAGGGAUUGUUAUGUUACAUGAUAACUUCUAAAGAUUCUGCUUAAAGAAAUGUAAAUUUUAGGCUGACCUAACACUGUGUUUUUAUGAGUUUGGAGGAAAAGGUCCUACUAAUUGGUUCUCUGCAGUCAGAGAUUUCUGUCAAUUUUAGGAGGUAAUUCACAUGGCAAAUGUCAGAAAAUUGCUCACACACAUUCAAGGGAGGCACCACAGCUGGAGGCGUUAUGGGCUUAGGUUUGCCAAUUGUGAGUAUGUAACCCCAGGCAAGUGACCUAACAUUUCUAUCCCCCAGUUUCCUCAUCUGCAAAAUGUGGAAGAAGAAAAAAGAAAGAAGGAAGAAGGAAGAAGGAAGAAGAGGAAGAGGAAGAGGAAGAAGAAGAAGAACUUACCUCAACAGGUCCUUGGGAGAAUUAAACCAAGGAUCCAGGUUAAGGUGCUUAGAGCCCUUAGUGCCGAGAUGCUUGCUAUUGUUUGCUGCUAACACAAAGGUCUUCUAGGAGCCCGUGAGAGGUCAGUGCUAUUUGGCUGCUGAUUUAACAAUUGUGUUGGGUUAGGGCCUUAAAAUUUCAAUACCAUCAAACCAGCCUCCCCAAAGCCACUCACAGUAAUCUUUAGCAAACAUAUAUGACAGAUGCCCGAAUAAAAGCCAUGUAAGUUCUUCUAUCCAUAGAACAUCCUCCAAAUCCACAGCAAGGUAUAGCCCUUGCACUACAUAAAUCUAAACCAGUCUUCUUUCUAGAAGACGUGGUCCAGAGAGUGGACACUGUGGGUGAUUCCACAGCGGCCAUCCCACCCCAACCCUCAGCUGACUGGUCUGUGCCAGUCAGCCCUUUACAGGGACCAGCUCAGUAAAUGAGGUCCUGGAGCCGUCUGGACGGCCUACUGGGUGCUUCUAAGAAAAAGCUACAAGAAGCCAGCUCUCCCUCCUUGGGGGCUGUGAAAGGCCAGCCAGUAGCCCCCACCCCUGGGGGACCAUCACCCGUCAACCUCUUACGAACCAACCCUGGAAUCCAGCUGAUGUUGGAUGCAGGUCAGAGAAACCCAAAGAGCUUGGAGCUUGGGGGAUACUGUCUAACCCUGAACCUGCCCUGCUUUCCACCUCCUUGUUAAGGUGAUUUUCUACUUGUCUAAACCUGAGUGAGGCUGAUUUCCUUUUACUCACUGAUGAAAACAGACAAUGGAGUGUGGACACAUUUGUCCUCUCAACUGACCAUUAAUACAUGGAAGCACAGAAGCUUCCCUGGUCAGAGAAGCCGCACAUCACAGGCUGAAUCCAUUAAUGGAAGAAUAUUCCACCAUGUUGCUGACUUUGCCCCAAAGCAGAAAGCAACUCGACACCAGCUUGCUCCUAUCACUCCCAGCCCGGGUGGCCUCCAUCGCCACUUAGGGCCUCAGUGUUCAGUGGGGCCGUUUACACCAUCAAUCAAAUGAGAGGCUGGACUUGACAAAGAAGGGACUCUGACCUGCUUCCAUGGCUGCAGCUGGGCCAUCAGGGUCCUCCGCACUGGCGGUGGCAAUGCCCGAACACCACCUGGGUGUCAGCCUCCCAAGGCCAAAGCUGCCCAGGCUGUGUCCAAGGGAGAAUGAGUGUCCUGCAGUCUGUCAGCCUGAGCAGAAGGCGGCAGGGCAUAUUUCUGAUACAUAGAAGUUAGUAUUAGGACCCAGGACUCAGUUGUAUCCCUGGACACCCCCACGCUCCCGGUGCUUUGUGUUGGGAUAACAGCCAGGGUUCUUUCUGCACUAUGUUCCCUGAACUCUUUGGGAAGCUGGGAUGGUCUCCAUAUGAUAAUGGAAUGCACCGGGGCCACUGCACACUUUCCUUCCUAGAAACAUGGCCUCCACAGGAGAUGGGCAGUGGAGGGGCUGCCCUGUGCCCGGGGAGCAGGGGGCAGAGCAGGUGUUGUGGGGCCUUGGGCAGCGCUGCCAUGGCAGCAAAGCUGGUCCCUGGUCCAGCCUCUGGGCCCAGUGGGAAGGAGCGCCCUUGGGUCAGGUGGGUGGCUUCAUCUAAGCUCCCCAACCCUCAAUGGACAGACAGGUGACAUGAACAGGUAAGAUGGGGCAGACCAAGAGAACAGCAGGGAGGAACGAUGAGCUGAGUCAGCCAGUGGAAAUCUCUGAAAUGAGUCCACAAAGAACAUGGGAAGGACAGGUGAAAACAAGGCCCAGAUAACCCGGCAGGUUCUGCCCAGUUAUACAUGAUCUUAGUGGCUACUUUCUCUUAUAAAACUCACCCAGUAUCUAUAGCUCAGGUACUUUUAUUAGGGUAACCAUUCACUGAAAAAUAAAAGCCCUAUUACCUCCUCUUUACAGAGUAUCGGAAAUAGGAUGUUAUAGAGGAAAAGAGGCCUUCAAGUGACUUCCAGACACAUAACUAUCUGGAGCUCUCACAAACUGACAAAGGGAGCAGCUAGGGGGAACUCCUGCUGCUUGGGCCUGAAGUCCCGUCAAGCUUUUUAUAGACUCAAAGGAUCCAGAAAGUCCAUUUCAAUACGUCUGAUGAUGAAAACAACUCCAAUGGCAUUAAGUCCUCAAAAAAAAAGGUUUUUUUUUGUCUUUUUAGGGCUGUACCCGAAGCAUAUGGAGGUUCCCAAGUUAUGGGUCAAAUCGAAGCUGCUGCCAGCCUACACCACAGCCACAGCAAUGUGGGAUCUGAGCUGUGUCUUUGACCUACACCACAGCUCACGCCAAUGCCAGAUCCUUAACCCACUGAGUGAGGCCAGGGAUCGAACCUGCGUCCUCAUAGAUGAUAGUCAGAUUCACUUCUACUAAGCCACGAUGGGAACUCCCAAGUCCUCACAAAUUAACAAGAUGAUCUGUCUAGUCACUUAGUUUGAAUCAUUAGUUAAAUGUUUAAUUACACAUUUUCAAAGAAAGAUAGCAAAC